GGUGGCCGGGCGGCGGACGGACGGCAGUCUGCGGCGAGCUCGGUCGCUGGAAGCCGCGCCGCUGUCGGAAGAGGCGGCCGACCGAGCGGGCCAGCAGGCCACUCCGACCAGCCGAGUCGAGAGGAGAACCUCUGCCGCGCUGAGAGGAGAGCUCCAGCGGGACCAAGCAGAGAACAUUCCAUCCGCCUCUGCACCAAAAGGUGCGCCACCAUCCGCUCGCCAUGCUCCGCGCUCUGGUUGCUGUGGGCCUGGGCUGCUCGCUGAUCUGCAGUGUCAUUGGUGCCGAGUUUCGCUACCAACUGCUCAAUGACAUCCAGCCACUGGACGAUUUGCCGCCGAGCGCCUAUCUUGACGAGGACAACUACCUUAGAGAUCCUGAACGAAUGAUAAGGGUCAGGAAGGCAGCGGGCAACUGUUACGCUCAGGGCAAGUGUCUCUACUACAGCAAGCGUAUGAAGGGCGAGUUCUGUGGCACUUGCGGCAAACGCGGCAGCUGCUUCCCAGGAAGCGCUACGGUGCUGAAGGAAACCGGCGAGGUCACUCCGAUGACGAACCUUCGGGUCAACGAUAGGGUGCUCGCGGCGAGCCGCUCUGGAGAGCUCACCUUCAGUCCGGUGGUGACCUGGCUGGACAAGCGCUCUAACGACACCACUCAGUACCUGGAGCUGUCCACAGAGACGGGCCACCGGCUCCGGCUGUCUCCCAACCACGUGCUGCUCGUCAACGAGCAACAGGAGCUCGUCUCCCGUUUUGCCUCGGACAUCUGUCCCGGAGACCUGCUGAAGGUGGCCGACUCUGACUCCGACUCAGAGUCAUCCUGGUCGCCGGUGACCGACGUUCGUCCCCUGGUCGAUACUGGAGCGUUCGUGCCGCUGACCGCUGAGGGGACGAUCGUGGUGGACGGUGUGCUGGCCUCGUGUUACGCCUCGUUCGACCACGACUGGGCCCACCUGCUGACUACGCCGGUUCGCUGGUUCCCCUGGCUGUUCGAGGGGGAGGAGGAGAGGGAGGCCGACGGACCCAGAGCUGCUGUGGAACAGCUGAAGGAGGUGGGUCGCUGGCUCUUCCCCGAGCCCGGCUCUAAGAACCGCGCCGCGCCGGACGACACCGUCAUCCAGCUGACGGACAAUGACGCCGGCGUCAUCCGCCUGCCGCUGAUGGCGUCCCUCGCGGCCAACAGUCAGUAGAGACGUCCGAUCAGGGAGCACCGCCGGGGUUAAAGGACCCUCGCGGCUGGUUAGAUCCGACAAGAACCAAUCCGACCCGGCCGCAACUUAGUUAAUCUAGUGUCACCUGGCUCUCUGUGCUGUGAGGCUUGAUUUUGGUUAAAAUUCAGUUAGUUGGAGCCAGUGGUGUGCUGGAAGAUGCCAUGGACGGUGUGCAAAUUAUGCUAAAACAUUUAAAUUGGCGGAGUCUGGACUCAGUUUGAGAAACACUAUGUCAGAAGGGACGAGCGUACUUCCUCAGAGACAGUCAAAUGAAUGACAAAAGUCACGUGAAUACCCAAACGAGCCCCAAACCAAAUGAAGAUAGCGAACGUCCAGGGCAUCUUGCUGCACACCGAUUGGUCCCUAGUGUCACCCAAUGAGCGUUUGUCGGCCGGUGACCUCUGGCUGACCUCUGACCCCUGAGCGCGCCCAUCUGGCCGGACGCCGGCCGGCUCGGCCGAGGCUGUCGACGAUGCCAGCAGAUCACCGCCAAUGGCCAAACUGUCGUAAACGCUGCCCAAUAUCCGGCUCAAGUUGAGCGGCCGCCGCCGUCUGCCCAUUCCGCUAGACGGUCGGAGAGCGGCCGGUUCUCCGUGACGUCCGAGUUUGGUGAUCCUCGUCGUUCAGCCGACCGGCGUCUGUCGUUGUUGUUGAUGCCCCCCCGAUUCGAGCGCGGCAGUGGCGGCCGGCCGGCCCGUCCCCCUGAACCGAGACGUGACCUCUGCCUGACCCUGACCGGGUCACGUCUCCGGACGGCCCAGCGCUGGGCGUCCGACCGGGCCGACCUGUCCCCGAGGAUAUCGCCGCUACAACUACCCAUCGGGUGGCUCUUGACUCCCGGGGAGUCGUCAACAACCAGAGGUGUGGUGAGGCUCAAACCGCUUGCAGCUUGCUAAGUUCGGAGCCAUUGAGCUCAUUUAUAGCCAAGUUUCCUUUGUGAUCAAUAGGCGAAGUUGGUCCCGCUUACCCUGCUUUCAGAUUUGUUGACCAUUUUUCGGAGUGACGGCGUCACGCGAGUUGAAUUCUGUGACCUGCCGACCCCCUCGUAACUGUCGGUCCCUCGCAGCUAGCGCUACAGCGCUAAUGAACAGAGUUGGUCGGUACACCUGGCUGCCACGCAACAGCAACGCCCACACCCACUGAAAACGGGGCUCGGAUGCCUGGAACAGUAUCGACGAAUAUAGCAACACUAAAAUAGACUAAUAGUCAAUAGCAGACUUUUCAACACAAGUCUGGAACGAUCUCUCGUAGAUUCGUCGAUUCUGUUUCACGCUCCCGACCUCGGCGAUGAAGAGAUUCGUGAAGGAUUGUCUGCGUCGCGAGCUGCGAGCUGUGUAAAGUCUCGAAGGACAGUGUCAGAAAGCGUCAGCCCGUGCCAGCCGAGUGCGCUAGAGUGCGGGCUGACUCUCGUGUUGUGUGUGAAACGCGACAUAUCAUUUCGAGCAUAUCAGCUAACGUUAGCGGUCUCUGGGCCAGCGAACUGUAGCAUGCUACAGUCUCUCAUAGCCAUGCUGUCGCUAUAGUACAGUUAAACAUAUCAGAUGUGUGAUAUAUUCUCGAUGAGUGGCGCCUCUUAGACAUAGUUAUGCAUACUCGCUAGUUUUAAAGUGGCCCAUUAGGGUGCGACAGAAAAGGUUACAUAUUUUACUCGUGGCAUUCGGUAAGACGAGAAGUCUUUGAUUGAAACCAGUUUUCAUUGUGCAUUUUGAACACUACGGUUCCUGUGAUCGUCUGAUAGGUAUCGACUACAGUCGUUAGGUGCUGCAUAUUUGCUCUCUUACAAGACAAGACCAGCAGAUUAUAUUGUUUGUGGCGUAUUUGGCGUUUUCAAAUAUACGGGCAACACAUCUCU
rnacentral:misc_RNA from 1 species